rnacentral:rRNA from 1 species
UCGACGGUAACAUUUCUAGCUUGCUAGAAGAUGACGAGUGGCGGACGGGUGAGUAAUGCUUGGGAACUUGCCUUUGCGAGGGGGAUAACAGUUGGAAACGACUGCUAAUACCGCAUAAUGUCUUCGGACCAAACGGGGCUUCGGCUCCGGCGCAAAGAGAGGCCCAAGUGAGAUUAGCUAGUUGGUAAGGUAACGGCUUACCAAGGCGACGAUCUCUAGCUGUUCUGAGAGGAAGAUCAGCCACACUGGGACUGAGACACGGCCCAGACUCCUACGGGAGGCAGCAGUGGGGAAUAUUGCACAAUGGGGGAAACCCUGAUGCAGCCAUGCCGCGUGUGUGAAGAAGGCCUUCGGGUUGUAAAGCACUUUCAGUUGUGAGGAAAAGUUAGUAGUUAAUACCUGCUAGCCGUGACGUUAACAACAGAAGAAGCACCGGCUAACUCCGUGCCAGCAGCCGCGGUAAUACGGAGGGUGCGAGCGUUAAUCGGAAUUACUGGGCGUAAAGCGCACGCAGGCGGUUUGUUAAGCUAGAUGUGAAAGCCCCGGGCUCAACCUGGGAUGGUCAUUUAGAACUGGCAGACUAGAGUCUUGGAGAGGGGAGUGGAAUUCCAGGUGUAGCGGUGAAAUGCGUAGAUAUCUGGAGGAACAUCAGUGGCGAAAGGCGACUCCCUGGCCAAAGACUGACGCUCAUGUGCGAAAGUGUGGGUAGCGAACAGGAUUAGAUACCCUGGUAGUCCACACCGUAAACGCUGUCUACUAGCUGUGUGUG